GAUCCUGGCUCAGGAUGAACGCUAGCUACAGGCUUAACACAUGCAAGUCGAGGGGAAACGACAUCGAAAGCUUGCUUUUGAUGGGCGUCGACCGGCGCACGGGUGAGUAACGCGUAUCCAACCUGCCCAUCACUUGGGAAUAACCUUGCGAAAGUAAGACUAAUCGCCAAUGAUACUCCCAACGAAGGCACUACCGAAGUGGGUAAUUAAAGUAUUUAGUCGGUGAGUGGAGGUGGGGAUGCGUCUGUAUUAG
rnacentral:rRNA from 1 species